rnacentral:rRNA from 1 species
AACGAACGCUGGCGGCAUGCCUAACACAUGCAAGUCGAACGAGACCUUCGGGUCUAGUGGCGCACGGCUGCGUAACGCGUGGGAACCUGCCCUUAGGUUCGGAAUAACUCCCCGAAAGGGGUGCUAAUACCGGAUAAUGUCCUCGGACCAAAGAUUUAUCGCCUUUGGAUGGGCCCGCGUUGGAUUAGCCAGUUGGUAGGGUAAAAGCCUACCAAGGCGACGAUCCAUAGCUGGUCUGAGAGGAUGAUCAGCCACACUGGGACUGAGACACGGCCCAGACUCCUACGGGAGGCAGCAGUGGGGAAUAUUGGACAAUGGGCGAAAGCCUGAUCCAGCAAUGCCGCGUGAGUGAUGAAGGCCUUAGGGUUGUAAAGCUCCUUUACCCGUGAUGAUAAUGACAGUACCGGGAGAAGAAGCUCCGGCUAACUCCGUG